GAGCCAUUAGCUCAGUUGGUAGAGCAUCUGACUUUUAAUCAGAGGGUCAGAGGUUCGAAUCCGCCAUUCUCCACCA
rnacentral:tRNA from 1 species